ensembl:lincRNA
GCCGCCAUCUUGCAACAUGGAGGAUAGAUUGCAAGUGGAGCCAAGAACAAAAUACAGCUGACUCUGAACAAAUCCUUUUCGUGACUUCUGGAUAAAGGACAACUCAAGCCCCUCGUUCCAGUGGCAGUGGAUUGAUGUGCAGCUUCCUAUGUGAAGGCAGAGCACACGUCUGUCUCUGGAGCUUCCUAGAGAACUCCAAGGCCAGUCUCAGGCCUUCACUCUGACUGUGUCUUCCUUAAAGCGUGGUGUGAAUCCACAGAUACCAGAAUCAGCUGGGCAGCUCUCUGACAAUGCAAUUUACUGGGCCCUAUUUCAAGCAAACAAAGUCAAAACCUUCUCUCUGGAAUUCAGAAAUCUGCAUUCAUGACAAUCUUCCCCAAUAAUUACUAUGAAAAAAACGAAACGUUGAGCAUUCCUGCUUCAGAGCAGAGCUUUAUUAAUGGAAGAGAAGAAGCACUAUGGAGAAGAUAAAAAGUUUGUGUUGCUAGGAAAUGACACCCUAAGGACAGAUUAUGGCUAAGAAGAGAAAACUAAAGGGAGAAGACUUAGCAGUGGGAUCCAUUUAAUGAAGAACCAAAUAGUCUUGACUCAAAAGGCCUUGUGAAAAUUCCUGCAUAAAAUCUGACAACUGCAAAUUACCCAAAAAGUUAGAUUAUGUUGGUGUAUUCUUUUUGAAGGGUAUUGCAAUGAGCUUUGCAUUUUAGAAAGAUUC